GUCGGGGUGGCCGAGCGGUCUAAGGCGCCAGACUCAAGAGUAAUCUUCUGGGUGUUCUGGUCCAUGAUGUGGGCGUGGGUUCGAAUCCCACCUCCGACA
rnacentral:tRNA from 1 species